UACGGAGGGUGCAAGCGUUGUCCGGAUUUAUUGGGUUUAAAGGGUGCGUAGGCGGCUUAUUAAGUCAGCGGUGAAAGACCAGGGCUCAACCCUGGAACUGCCAUUGAUACUGAUAAGCUUGAGUAAAGUUGAGGUAGGCGGAAUUGACGGUGUAGCGGUGAAAUGCUUAGAUAUCGUCAAGAACACCGAUUGCGUAGGCAGCUUACUAAGCUUUAACUGACGCUGAGGCACGAAAGUGUGGGGAUCAAACAGG
rnacentral:rRNA from 1 species